UUUUUUUUUUUUUGACAAACGGAGACCUUAGACAUUACAACAAAAAUGGUAUAUAGCGACACUUUUAAAUUUUGGUAUAGGUUAAAAAAAGUGUUAAUAGCUAAAUUACCGACACUUUUAAAAGCAUUGCUAUAUAUAGGGUCGUUUGGUAUAUAGUGACAGUUUAAUAGUGUCGGUAUAAUCUACAAAGAAUGCUGAUGAUUUACCAACACUUAUUUAAGUAUUUAGCAGCUGCCGAAACCCGACCUCAUCGCCUGCGGUGAAGGAGAGCGAGGGGCUCUUCGUCUAGGGUUUCAGAGAAUUGAGUGAGGGAAGAAGAGGUGUAAUCGAUUUUUCUUUUUUUUUUCUGUUUGUAAUCGAAGCGAGUUGGCUGGAUGGAGUGGGUUGAGUAGAGCAACUUUUUUUUUAUUGGACUUUAUAUUUAGGUCUUAGUAUAUUUUUUUUAAAAAAAAUUGAUAUAAAUAGGACAUUUUCACAAAAGUAUCCCAAAAAUAUAUCAAUGUAACCUAAUUCUAUUGUAGAAGGAAAUGGCAGCCAGAUUGAAAUCUGCUUUUCAAAAGAAUGAAUAACAAUGCAAAUUAGGUUACAUUGAUAUAUUUUUGGGAUACUUUUGUGAAAAUGUCCUAUUUAUAUCAAUUUUUUUUAAAAAAAAUAUACUAAGACCUAAAUAUAAANAAAAUAUAUCAAUGUAACCUAAUUCUAUUGUAGAAGGAAAUGGCAGCCAGAUUGAAAUCUGCUUUUCAAAAGAAU
rnacentral:lncRNA from 1 species